AACGAACGCUGGCGGCAUGCCUAACACAUGCAAGUCGAACGAAGGCUUCGGCCUUAGUGGCGCACGGGUGCGUAACGCGUGGGAAUCUGCCCUUGGGUUCGGAAUAACAGCUGGAAACGGCUGCUAAUACCGGAUGAUGACGAAAGUCCAAAGAUUUAUCGCCAGAGGAUGAGCCCGCGUUGGAUUAGGUAGUUGGUGGGGUAAAGGCCUACCAAGCGGACGAUCCAUAGCUGGUCUGAGAGGAUGAUCAGCCACACUGGGACUGAGACACGGCCCAGACUCCUAUGGGAGGCAGCAGUGGGGAAUAUGAGACAGUGGGCGCGAGUCUGAUCCAGCAAUGCCGCGUGAUUGAUGAAUGCUCUAGGGUUGUAAAGCUCUUUUACCCGGGAAGAUAAUGACUGUACCGGGAGAAUAAGCCCCGGCUAACUCCGUG
rnacentral:rRNA from 1 species